GGCUCACUCCAUCGUUGACUCUAUCGGACUGUCUUGUAUAUCAGGUGUUUCUCAGGAUCUCAUGCAACAGCUUCAACUUCUUGUUGUCUGUUGCUCCAGUAAAAGGAUCGGUAUUGACGUGUUUGGUCUGUUCACACUGGACUCCCAUACAUUUCUGAUGGUGAUGGGGACUAUUGUGACAAACGGCAUUGUUGUGAUUCAGUUUCAACAGGACAAGUCAAAGUGUACCUUGAAUGUCAGCUCCACAACUUUGUUGUAGUUGGCGUCUACAUUAAGUCACGGAUCAUUUCAUCAUCAACUCCAGAUUGAGCUUUACGAGACGUGUCACGCAUGGUGGAACAACUCUAAAUAGCUCGCUUUCUGGUGUAUCUGGUGUACAAACUAAAAGCAGUGUUAAUGAGAUAUGUGUUUUAAUGGAUAGGAUCAUUUCUGUGCACUUUUUAGCACUGCAGAAUCAAACGUAUGUAUGUACAAAUACAUUUCAAUAUGAAAGAAUCAGACUUUCACAACAUGACAGAGGCGCAAUUUAAAGCUCUUUAUAAGA